rnacentral:rRNA from 1 species
AUUGAACGCUGGCGGCAGGCCUAACACAUGCAAGUCGAGCGGAUGAAGGGAGCUUGCUCCUGGAUUCAGCGGCGGACGGGUGAGUAAUGCCUAGGAAUCUGCCUGGUAGUGGGGUAUAACGUCCGGAAACGGGCGCUAAUACCGCAUACGUCCUUAGGGAGAAAGUGGGGGUUCUUCGGACCUCACGCUAUCAUAUGAGCCUAGGUCGGAUUAGCUAGUUGGUUGGGUAAAGGCCUACCAAGGCGACGAUCCGUAACUGGUCUGAGAGGAUGAUCAGUCACACUGGAACUGAGACACGGUCCAGACUCCUACGGGAGGCAGCAGUGGGGAAUAUUGGACAAUGGGCGAAAGCCUGAUCCAGCCAUGCCGCGUGUGUGAAGAAGGUCUUCGGAUUGUAAAGCACUUUAAGUUGGGAGGAAGGGCAGUAAGUUAAUACCUUGCUGUUUUGACGUUACCAACAGAAUAAGCACCGGCUAACUUCGUG